rnacentral:sRNA from 1 species
UUCAGCCCCUGUGGAUCGAGGGCAGGGGCCUGGGAGGUACCAGUUCUGAGCUGGGCAUCAACAGAGGCACCUAACCACCCAGGGGCUGUGGUUUGCAGAGAGUGCCCUGAGAGUGCAGCUGCCCCUCCCUGUUCACAGGAGAAGGCGCAGUGUAAGAAGAGCAGCUGUCAGGGCAGGCUGGCGCCCUCCGUGGCCCACAGGGUGGCCCAGCUGAAACCCAAGGUCAAGAGUAAAGGGCUGCCUGCAGGCCUCAGCUCUUUCCAGCAGAAGGAGGCUACCCCCGGGGGGCGCAUCCGGGAGAAGCUGUCCCGAGCCAAGAGUGCCAAGGUGCCUGGGGCCACACGGCACCCACAGCCCAAGGGCCACGGCAGCCGGGAGACACCCAGGUGCCCAGCCCAGCCCUCCGUGGCUGCAUCCCGGGAGGCAGGCAGUGGCUAUGACAGUGAGGACUGCGAGGGUCUCCUGGAGACAGAGGCACCACCCAGGGAGGCAGGGCUGCUGCUGCAUGCUGGGGCCAGUGUGGCCGUGCUGGGGCCGUCACCCUCCUCUGUGGUCAAGAUGGAGGCCAACCAGAAGGCCAAGAAGAAGAAGGAGAGGCAGGGGUUUGCUAGGGGCCUGCCGCCUGUCCAGUCCUGAGAGUGAGGUCAAGAUCAAGAGGCGGUCGGUGAAGGCCAAGGUGGGCACCACCCUGGAGCGGGCCCCAGGGCAGAGGCCCCCAGGUGCGCUGGGCAAGAAGAAAGCCAAGGGCAAGGCCAAGGGCAGCCUGCGGGCAGAGCCGGGGGCCACCUCCAGCAGGGACGCCCUCUUC